UGAGGAAUAUUGGUCAAUGGGCGAGAGCCUGAACCAGCCAAGUCGCGUGAAGGAAGACAGUCCUAAGGAUUGUAAACUUCUUUUAUACGGGAAUAACGGGCGAUACGAGUAUUGCAUUGAAUGUACCGUAAGAAUAAGCAUCGGCUAACUCCGUGCCAGCAGCCGCGGUAAUACGGAGGAUGCGAGCGUUAUCCGGAUUUAUUGGGUUUAAAGGGUGCGUAGGUUGUUCGGUAAGUCAGCGGUGAAACCUGAGCGCUCAACGUUCAGCCUGCCGUUGAAACUGCCGGGCUUGAGUUCAGUGGCGGCAGGCGGAAUUCGUGGUGUAGCGGUGAAAUGCGUAGAUAUCACGAGGAACUCCGAUUGCGAAGGCAGCUUGCCAUACUGCGACUGACACUGAAGCACGAAGGCGUGGGUAUCAAACAGG
rnacentral:rRNA from 1 species